rnacentral:rRNA from 1 species
AUGAUGAUCAAGUUGGGGUUUGACACCUCAUGGGUGGAGAUGAUUAUGGCAUGCGUUACAUCGGUUAAUUACAGGAUUUGGUUCAACUCGGAUGAAACAGAGGCGUUUACCCCAUCCAGGGGGCUCAGGCAAGGGGACCCGUUAUCUCCUUACCUAUUCUUGAUAUGUGCUGAAGGGUUAUCGAGUCUACUAGCGCAUGAAGAGGCGGUCGGUGGUAUCCAAGGAAUUAGGGUGUGCCGUAGUGCACCAUCAGUUUCACACUUGUUAUUUGUUGAUGAUUCCCUGAUCCUGAUGAGGGCGGAUACGUUGAAUGCCACGUCACUCAAGAAUUCGCUGGACUUGUACUGUGCUAUCUCGGGUCAACUGGUAAGUGAUGCAAAAUCCAGUGUCUUUUUCAGUCCAAACACUUUGGUGGAGGUACAAGCAGAGGUUUGCACACAGCUUAAUAUAGUUUCAGAGGCUAUUUCUGAUAAGUAUUUGGGACUACCGUCGAAGGUUGGAAUCGACCUAGUGACAGUUUUCAGUACCUGGUUGAUAGAGUAUGUGCGCUUAUUGAUAGUUGGAUGUCAAAGAUACUCUCGAUCAGUGAAAAGGAGACGUUACAGAAAGCAGUGGCGCAUGCGAUCCCAGUCUACGCCAUGUCUGUUUUUAAUAUCCCCAAAAAUAUUUGUAAGGCUAUUUGCGAUGCUAUAG